UACAGAGGGUGCAAGCGUUAAUCGGAAUUACUGGGCGUAAAGCGUGCGCAGGCGGUUCGUUGUGUCGGCGGUGAAAGCCCGGGCUUAACCUGGGAAUGGCCGUUGAAACUGGCGAACUGGAGUGUGGCAGAGGGGGGUGGAAUUCCGCGUGUAGCAGUGAAAUGCGUAGAGAUGUGGAGGAAUACCGAUGGCGGAAGGCAGCCUCCUGGGCCAACACUGACGCUCAUGCACGAAAGCGUGGGGAGCAAAC
rnacentral:rRNA from 1 species